GACAGAGAUGCCAAGCGUUGUUCGGAAUCACUGGGCAUAAAGGGCGCGUAGGCGGCUUCGUAAGUCAGGGGUGAAAUCCCCCGGCUCAACCGGGGAAUUGCUUUUGAUACUGCGAGGCUUGAGGUCGGAAGGGGAAGGUGGAAUUCCAGGUGUAGCGGUGAAAUGCGUUGAUAUCUGGAGGAACGCCGGCGGCGAAAGCG
rnacentral:rRNA from 1 species